CUCCUGAAGAAUUUAUCCUCUUCCCCCACAGGACAGGCAGUUGUUGCCCUGUGAACAAUGCACCACAAUGAGGGGAAGGAAAAUACUGUCUCUUUUAAGGAACUUUCAGAAGUCAGAAGGAACACGCACUCACAAUAACAAAAGAUGCUUUUGAAAGAAUUCUGGGAAAUGUUCCCUAAGCUAGGCUGUUCUUUCCAACAUCCCAAAAGCUUUAUUAAACCAAUAAGGAGGCAGAGUAACAUUUUGACUUGUUUGUGGAUAACAUAUAGGACAUCUUUAGAAUUUAAUUGUAGUGUGUGGCAGUAACUUCACAGAUAUAACUGAAUCCUUAGUCAUUCGAGCACUGUUGAGAUAACUCAAAGGGGGCACAGGUUAUUAUUUGGAGCAGUGUCUGAAUAAGCCCUUUAGGGCAGGGGUGUCAUCAAACUGGCCCUCCAGACGUUGUUGGGCUAAGACUCCCAUCAUCCUCAUUACAAUGGCCAGUAGCCAGAGAUGAUGGGAAGUAUAGUGUGCCCUGAGAGGAAGGCAAGAAAGCAUGCACCCCAGGCCAGGGAGCUCUUGUCCUCAGCUCCUGAAAAGACCAACAGCCUGAAACAUUUUAUUAAUUUGUUAUUUGCUUCUUUUAAUAUUGUAAACCACUUUGGGUGCCUUUGUGAAGGCAGAAAGGCGGUAUAAAAAUGUAGUAAAUACAUAAAUAUAGGCCAACAUCUAUCGGCAGGUGGGCUGCAGUUUGACAUCUUUAGGGGGACAGCUGGGGAAAAUCAUUUGGUGCAUGAAGUUUAAAAGAGCAAUUCCUUGAACAUAUGGGAAGACAUUCCUUAAGCAUUCCAGUAAGACACAGAAUUACAAAUGGUGUUUGAAAUAACGUGCAGAAUCAUUCACUCACUCAUUCAUUCAUUCAAAUUCCAAACAUUUACAGUCAUGGUCUUUCACUGAUGGAUGUUCCAUGCCUCUUUCCUGAAUUAUCAGUGUCAAUGUAUAUUGUACAGUACAUUCAGCUUCCAUCUGUAUUGUAUUGAACUUGUGUCAAUGAAGCUUCCCUGCGAGCCAGUUCACUGGGCUGGUGUGCUGCAUGGAACAUUCCAGCUACCCAGAGAACAAAGCAUCAACAAUAAAAGGUUUGUGGUCUAGCUUUUGUGAGAACAGAUACUUAUGUCUUGAUCCUUACACAAGUCCUAUGGAAGAAUGUGGUGUAUAAGGCAGGGAAAGCUGGAAAGCUGACAAAGAGAAGACCUCUACAAGAUGUAAGGUUGACAAAGUAGUACUCCCUGCACACCUUGCAGGAAGACUGUAGAAUCUAAUUAGGAUGCACGAUGAUCUGAAAAUGCAAAUGCUGGCUCCUGUUGGCUGUUGAUACUUGAUCCUAUUACUCCAUGUGCAAAAAAUGAAGCCAAGUACUGUGCCUAAACCACAGCACCACACCUGCAGGGUAACCUUCAGCCUAUAUUCUAAGUAGGUGCAGAAGCUUCUGUAGUGGAGAGAUUUAAGACAGACUUGUCUCCUUGGGCAACAAAAGUGGAGACAGCAGGAGAAUCAAGGAAAACACGCUGUUAGAAUAAUUCCCUUCAGAGAAAUCAUGAUGCCAAACUGUUCCUUCCAGCUACCACUCUCAAAGAGAGAAUAUUUAUUCAUUGGUAGAUGAAGUUCAGCAGACAGUUCACAUUAGAAUUUGAAUUUCUAGUUUCUACUGAGGUUUCCGAGUUUCUUGGGGAAGAGGAAGGGGAGAAAUCAGUAAUGUAAGUGCUAAGAGUUUAAUCCAAAGGUUCAGGUACUUUUAAAAGCAUUUGUUAUUUCAGCUGAUCCCAGCGUGUGCAUUUUUCCGGAAUAUCUUACCCUCCCACAAACAAAUGUACAGUCUCCUUGGGUAUACUUUUACAGUACUGGCAUAAAUCCAGUCAGCUAUGUAUUAUUAGCCGUACACUGAUGCACAUCCAAUCUCUUCAAUCUGCACUGUGGAUUGCUUGUAGAUCACAUCUAUGCCAAUUAUUAAUUAAACCAUGAA